UACGUAGGUGGCAAGCGUUGUCCGGAUUUACUGGGCGUAAGGGGUGUGUAGGCGGAUGUUUAAGUGAGAUGUGAAAUACCCGGGCUUAACUUGGGUGCUGCAUUUCAAACUGGAUAUCUAGAGUGCAGGAGAGGAGAAUGGAAUUCCUAGUGUAGCGGUGAAAUGCGUAGAGAUUAGGAAGAACACCAGUGGCGAAGGCGAUUCUCUGGACUGUAACUGACGCCGAGGCACGAAAGCGUGGGUAGCAAAC
rnacentral:rRNA from 1 species